ACAGUGGACGCGAGCAUCUUUGUAGCAAGACAAGCUACUAAGGGCACAUGGUGGAUGCCUUGGCACCAAGAGCCGAUGAAGGACGUAGGAACCUGCGAUAAGCCCCGGGAAGUUGGUAACCAAGCUGUGAUCCGGGGAUUUCCGAAUGGGGAAACCCAGCUGGAGUCAUGUCCAGUUACCUCUGUCUGAACACAUAGGACAGUUGGAGGGAACACCGGGAAGUGAAACAUCUCAGUACCGGUAGGAAGAGAAAACAAAAGUGAUUCCGAGAGUAGUGGCGAGCGAAAUCGGAAGAGGCCAAACUCGUGCAGUGUGAUAGCCGGCAGGCGUUGCUGUUCGAGGGUUGUGGGGCCGUCACGUCGGAUCUGCCGAUCCGACACAGAGUUAGAAACCAUCGUUGAAGUCGAAAUGGAUUGGAAAGUCCUGGCGUAGAGGGUGAUACCCCCGUACACGUAAGACGAUGGCUCUGAGACGUCACCCCAAGUAACACGGAACCCCUGAAAUUCCGUGUGAAUCUGGCGGGACCACCCGUUAAGCCUAAAUACUCCUUGGUGACCGAUAGCGGACAAGUACCGUGAGGGAAAGGUGAAAAGUACCCCUGGCGGGGAGUGAAAUAGUACCUGAAACCAUGUGCCUACAAACCGUUGGAGCGGGGAUUCGUCCCUGUGACAGCGUGCCUUUUGAAGAAUGAGCCUGCGAGUUUGCGUUGUGUUGCGAGGUUAACCCGUGUGGGGAAGCCGUAGCGAAAGCGAGUCCGAAUAGGGCGUUUGAGUAGCACGAUCAAGACCCGAAGCGAAGUGAUCUAUCCAUGGGCAGGUUGAAGCGCGGGUAAGACCGCGUGGAGGACCGAACCCACUUAGGUUGAAAACUGAGGGGAUGACCUGUGGAUAGGGGUGAAAGGCCAAUCAAACUUCGUGAUAGCUGGUUCUCCCCGAAAUGCAUUUAGGUGCAGCGUCGCGUGUUUCUUGCUGGAGGUAGAGCACUGGAUAGCCGAUGGGCCCUACAAGGUUACUGACGUUAACCAAACUCCGAAUGCCAGUAAGUGAGAGCGCGGCAGUGAGACUGCGGGGGAUAAGCUCCGUAGUCGAGAGGGAAACAGCCCAGACCAUCAGCUAAGGUCCCUAAGCGAUAACUAAGUGGAAAAGGAUGUGGAGUCGCACAGACAACCAGGAGGUUGGCUUGGAAGCAGCCACCCUUGAAAGAGUGCGUAAUAGCUCACUGGUCAAGUGAUUCCGCGCCGACAAUGUAGCGGGGCUCAAGUUAUCCACCGAAGCUAUGGCAUUCAUGCGUAAGACAGGCCUUUGUGGUCCAGUUGCAUGGAUGGGUAGGGGAGCGUCGUGUGGGCAGUGAAGCGGCGGAGUGAUCCAGCCGUGGAGGCCACACGAGUGAGAAUGCAGGCAUGAGUAGCGAAUGACUGGCGAGAAACCAGUCCGCCGAAUGAUCAAGGGUUCCAGGGUCAAGCUAAUCUGCCCUGGGUAAGUCGGGACCUAAGGCGAGGCCGACAGGCGUAGUCGAUGGACAACGGGUUGAUAUUCCCGUACCGGCAAAAUAGCGCCCAUGACGAACCUAGUGAUGCUAAGUGCCCAAAACCACCGGGAUCCUUCGGGACGAUGGUGGCAGAGCGCACGACCCGAACUAGUAGUAGUCAAGCGAUGGGGUGACGCAGGAAGGUAGUCCAACCGUGGCGAUGGUUGCCCACGGCUAAGGGUGUAGGGCGAACGGUAGGCAAAUCCGCCGUUCAUGUGCCUGAGACCUGAUGGGGAGUCCGUAUGGACGAAGUGGAUGAUCCUAUGCUGUCGAGAAAAACCUCUAGCGAGCUAUGCGCCGCCCGUACCCCAAACCGACUCAGGUGAUCAGGUAGAGAAUACCAAGGCGAUCGAGUGAACCACGGUUAAGGAACUCGGCAAAAUACCCCCGUAACUUCGGGAGAAGGGGGGCCGGAUUCGUGAUGGGACUUGCUCCCGGAAGCGAUGAAGGCCGCAGAGACCAGGCCCAAGCGACUGUUUACUAAAAACACAGGUCCGUGCGAAGUCGUAAGACGAUGUAUACGGACUGACUCCUGCCCGGUGCUGGAAGGUUAAGGGGACCUGUUAGAACUUCGGUUCGAAGCGGAGAACUUAAGCCCCAGUAAACGGCGGUGGUAACUAUAACCAUCCUAAGGUAGCGAAAUUCCUUGUCGGGUAAGUUCCGACCUGCACGAAUGGAGUAACGACUUGGGCGCUGUCUCAACCGUGGACUCGGCGAAAUUGCAGUACGAGUAAAGAUGCUCGUUACGCGCGGCAGGACGGAAAGACC
rnacentral:rRNA from 1 species